rnacentral:misc_RNA from 1 species
GCGAAGGAUUCACAUGGACUGUGAAAGAAUGUAAAUAGGGUUGAGAGAGGAAAAAGAGAACAAAAGGCACACUCAAAGCAGUUCAACUGCCAAAUGUUUUUCAACAUAUAUAGAUAUAGCUUACUAAAUCAAAUUAAUUAUAUAACAUCUCUAGAACUGCAUUUUCAAAUGCAUUUAAUCCUGGUGCACGGUUGAACAACAUUGUAACCCUGACCCAAUUGUUGGAAGAUUUGGUGAUUACU